rnacentral:rRNA from 1 species
CAGCAGCCACGGUAAUACGAAGGGGGCUAGCGUUGUUCGGAUUUACUGGGCGUAAAGCGCACGUAGGCGGAUCGAUCAGUCAGGGGUGAAAUCCCAGAGCUCAACUCUGGAACUGCCUUUGAUACUGUCGAUCUAGAGUAUGGAAGAGGUGAGUGGAAUUCCGAGUGUAGAGGUGAAAUUCGUAGAUAUUCGGAGGAACACCAGUGGCGAAGGCGGCUCACUGGUCCAUUACUGACGCUGAGAUGCGAAAGCGUGGGGAGCAAACAGGAUUAGAUACCCGCGUAGUCCCUGUCUCUUAUAC